GCCGGUGAUAACGAUAAUUAACGCGGACUAGGGGUCAGAAGAGAUCAAAUGGAGAAGAUGACUUUAGAAAAUAAAAGGAGUAGCCUUACAUCUUCAAAACUACGUAUAGUACUCGAACUUUAACAAGUCAUUAAACAAGCUAUUUCUAAAACCAACACCAAGGACACUCGAAUUGGCUUACCCUAGUAAUUACCUUUUUCUUCUUUGCACAGCUCUCCCAGAAUCUCUUUUCGCUAUACCAAAUAUGUCAUGUCUUUCUGUGAACAAUUCACCAAGUGGAUAUUUUUAGUGUUCCCAGGUCGGACUAAUCAUACUUGAUCUCAAUGAACCAAAGACUUGUGAUGGCGCGAAACGAAAUUGGCGCCCUUUUAGUCCCGUGGCUUGGCUCGAUCACGGCUGUAUCCAGCCCAAAUUUGUCUGCAUCCAAAUCAAAUAUUGUUCUUUUUGCCGUCGGUUUCAUCCAAGAAUGAUCCAUUCGUAUUGUUCUCAUUAUAAAAAGAUGCAGGAGAGAAAUCUUCUAGCUCACACUGCACAUGAUGCCGUGUAACACGAGAUCUCAGGAAAGACAUGACAUAUUUGGUAUAGCGAAAAGAGAUUCUGGGAGAGCUGUGCAAA